rnacentral:lncRNA from 10 species
GAGGCUGAGGCAGGAGAAUCACUUGAGCCCAGGAGGCGGAGGUUGCAGCGAGCCGAGAUCACGCCACUGCGCUCCAGCCUGGGAGACAGAGCAAGACUGUCUCAAACACAACAACAACAACAACAACAACAAAAAACAAAAAGCAAAAGUUAGCCGGGCGUGGUGGCGCGCGCCUGUAGUUCCAGCUACUCAGGGGGCUGAGGCACGAGAAUUGCUUGAACCUGGGAGGUGGAGGUUGCUGUGAGCCGAGAUCACAACACUGCACUCCAGCCUGGGCGACAGAGCGAGACUCUGUAUCAAAAAAAAAAAAAAAAAGAAAAGAAAGAAAGACACAAUGACAAAGGCAGAGUUCACCUACAGAGGGAAUGACAUCAAUACAUUAGGAAUAUUUUUAAUACAUUAAAUCCCUUUGGGGUGUUUUUGGACACCUGGCUUGUCAUACUAUGAACAACAGAAUUUCCUUAAAAAGUUUUUAUUUUAGAGACAGGGUCUCGCUCUGUUGACCAGGCUGGAGUGCAGUGGCGCAGUCAUAGCUCACUGUAGCCUCAAACUCUUGAGCUCAACUGGUCCUGCCACUUCAGACUCCCAAGUAGCUAGGACUACAGGUGUAUGCCACCACAACCAGCUAACUUUUACAAAAUAUUUUUUGUAGAGAUGAGGGGGACUCGCUCUGUGGCUCACGGCCGUCUUGAACUUUGAAUACCUGGCCUCAAGCUAUUUUCCUGCCUCGCCCUCCCAGAGUGCUGGGAUUACAGGUGUGAACCACCGCACCCAGCCCUCAUUUAUUUGAUUUCUUCAGAGAGGCUCAUCUGUUCCUAUAUUUAGAAAUGUGGAACUUUUCCAAAGAAGACAACCUUCAUUUUUUUCAUACGGGCUUUCAAAAGAAUGUGAUGUCCUUUUGGUGUUUUAGAUUCUCACCUAUGAGGUAUAAACAAAUCGCCUUGCAGACAAGUCUCAACACAGAACACAUGCUGCUUAUCACUGGCAAAGACUUGCAUCAGCCUGCCACCACGGCUGGCUCAUCUUGUCCCUCCAGGCCUGUGCCUGCUGGAACACUCCCACUCCCCAUGUCUGAAUACACCACUUCGGUUGGACCAAGAGUUUCCAGCUCGGGUGGCCCCUCCUUCCCUGGAAAUAAAUAGCUGCCUAUAGAAUAUCAGAGUCAUUCUGACUCAGGGGUGACUCAGCUCUUCCAUGACCUGUGUUCCCACUUCUCCUUGAUAAGGCCAAUGUUUUGGCCCUACUGGUGAAAAUAUGUAGACCUAACAUCUAUCUCCCUGCUCCAGUUUCAAGAGAAAAGACCUUAUUCAGAGAAAUAUUUAGAAGACUCUUGUGGAAUUCUUGCUGUGAGUGGUUUUUCCUUCCCUGCCAUUGGUGCGACUGUUUCCCCCUUCCGUCAAAUUGCUGUCUAGAUGUUUCUCUCUGACCCCAAUUUUCUCGGAGUUUGGGAUUAUCAAUCUAAAAUCAGAGGGAACUGCCACUCACUGACACGGACAACAGUAAAGGAACUUGGUCUUCACUAUGCCUCAUAGUGGUGGGUCACACUGCCCAGGAGGAACCCGCAAUGAGACCGGCAAAUGCCUUAACCAUCUCAUUGUCUCAUCAGGAAGAAGCUUAAAUGACUCUUCUUGCUCACAUACUUCCUGGGCAAACAUGUCUGCUCUGUUGGGAUAAAGGACGCUCUAGACCAGGCUCUGCUGAAAGAUCCAGGGCAAAGGUUCCUGACAAGACUAUGUCCAGCCUCAAAUAAGGCCACAGAAGAGCCCAGGCUCGCUGACGAGCACCGGCUCCGAGGCAGUCACAUCAGGAGACAGAAACAGACAUGUUGGUGCUGCCCUCUCAGGUCAGUGCAAAUGCCACUUGAGGAGGGCUGAGAGCUUUGCAGCAUAAAAUGACCAGAACAAGGAGAAACACAGAUGCAAUGGCAAUAGCUGGCAAUUCGCACAUGGCGUCAAACACCACUGCCACAGAAGCUUUUUAGCUACAAGCCACGCUAUGCAACCUUUAAGCAAAACAUUAUUGAUUUUGUGGUUGUAAAAACAUACCUUCAACUGCAGAACUCAGUUUUAUGACACCUUGAAUAAAAACAAAAAGUGGCAGUUAUAUAAUGGACCCAAAUCGCCUUUUCCAGGCUUCUCAUAACACACGCAUGCUUCAGAUUUGGAUUUUUCUUUUUCUGCUGGCAUUGCAAGAACGUAACUAAACAAAUAUCAACUUCAAAAAUAAAAUAAUUUUUAGUCUUAACUAGGUCUCAUGGAUGUCUUCUUUUCCCCCACUAAAACCAUUUGGGGAAAUUUUUCACUAAAAAUGGGAUCAAACAUGUUUUUGGAUGGGACAAAGGCCAAGUCUGCCUGAGUGACUAUUUCUGUGUAUAAAUUAUACCAGAUUAUGGAUCAAUAAAAGUUCACACAAUAGGAUGCUAGGGACCAGCACUUCCUCUUUGAUACUGUAUCUAGAGAUCAUCUGAUGCAUGUUAGGACAGAGUUUCUGUUGAAACAUGUAACAGGUGGUUAAAAACCAUGGUGUGAUCUGGUAACUUUCUUCUCUGGGGUGGUUGGGCCAGAGCCCUUUUCUUGGUCUGAUGGGUUUAGAUUUCAGCUCCCUCAAGUCAGAGAGUGAACGGGUUAUCUGAGCAAGUCAAGUUGUUCAUGAAGCAAGUCAGUACCCUUGACUGAUAUUUAUGCACCUUUGCAGUGAAUUUUUUUUUUUUUUGAGACAGAGUCUCGCUCUGUCACCCAGGCUGGAGUGCAGUGGCGCAAUCUCGGAUCUUGGAUCUCGGCUCACUGCAACCUCUGCCUCCUGGGUGGACGCCAUUCUCCUGCCUCAGCCUCCCGAGUGGCUGGGACUACAGGCGCCCGCCAGCACGCCCGGCUAAUUUUUUGUAUUUUUAGUAGAAACAUGGUUUCACUGUA